rnacentral:rRNA from 1 species
GAUGAACGCUGGCUACAGGCUUAACACAUGCAAGUCGAGGGGCAGCAUUUCAGUUUGCUUGCAAACUGGAGAUGGCGACCGGCGCACGGGUGAGUAACACGUAUCCAACCUGCCGAUAACUCGGGGAUAGCCUUUCGAAAGAAAGAUUAAUACCCGAUGGUAUAAUCAGACCGCAUGGUCUUGUUAUUAAAGAAUUUCGGUUAUCGAUGGGGAUGCGUUCCAUUAGGCAGUUGGUGAGGUAACGGCUCACCAAACCUUCGAUGGAUAGGGGUUCUGAGAGGAAGGUCCCCCACAUUGGAACUGAGACACGGUCCAAACUCCUACGGGAGGCAGCAGUGAGGAAUAUUGGUCAAUGGGCGCAGGCCUGAACCAGCCAAGUAGCGUGAAGGAUGACUGCCCUAUGGGUUGUAAACUUCUUUUAUAUGGGAAUAAAGUUUUCCACGUGUGGAAUUUUGUAUGUACCAUAUGAAUAAGGAUCGGCUAACUCCGUGCCAGCAGCCGCGGUAAUACGGAGGAUCCGAGCGUUAUCCGGAUUUAUUGGGUUUAAAGGGAGCGUAGGUGGACAGUUAAGUCAGUUGUGAAAGUUUGCGGCUCAACCGUAAAAUUGCAGUUGAUACUGGCUGUCUUGAGUACAGUAGAGGUGGGCGGAAUUCGUGGUGUAGCGGUGAAAUGCUUAGAUAUCACGAAGAACUCCGAUUGCGAAGGCAGCUCACUGGACUGCAACUGACACUGAUGCUCGAAAGUGUGGGUAUCAAACAGGAUUAGAUACCCUGGUAGUCCACACAGUAAACGAUGAAUACUCGCUGUUUGCGAUAUACAGUAAGCGGCCAAGCGAAAGCAUUAAGUAUUCCACCUGGGGAGUACGCCGGCAACGGUGAAACUCAAAGGAAUUGACGGGGGCCCGCACAAGCGGAGGAACAUGUGGUUUAAUUCGAUGAUACGCGAGGAACCUUACCCGGGCUUAAAUUGCAUUUGAAUAUAUUGGAAACAGUAUAGCCGUAAGGCAAAUGUGAAGGUGCUGCAUGGUUGUCGUCAGCUCGUGCCGUGAGGUGUCGGCUUAAGUGCCAUAACGAGCGCAACCCUUAUCUUUAGUUACUAACAGGUCAUGCUGAGGACUCUAGAGAGACUGCCGUCGUAAGAUGUGAGGAAGGUGGGGAUGACGUCAAAUCAGCACGGCCCUUACGUCCGGGGCUACACACGUGUUACAAUGGGGGGUACAGAAGGCAGCUACCUGGUGACAGGAUGCUAAUCCCAAAAGCCUCUCUCAGUUCGGAUCGAAGUCUGCAACCCGACUUCGUGAAGCUGGAUUCGCUAGUAAUCGCGCAUCAGCCAUGGCGCGGUGAAUACGUUCCCGGGCCU